CUUUCUCGGGGCUCCCAGGCUCGGCCAGGUGAUGUGAUGAUGCUUCGCACAAUGUCCACCUCAGGCCUUCUCUCCAAAUUCGGGGUUCAGGUGGCACCGCUGCUCGCCUCCCCGCCUGCCGCCCACUGCCAUGCCUGCUCCAGUCUCCCAGAAACACAAGCCAGAUCCCUGUUCCGGCCUCGGCCAGCUUUCAUCCACGUUUCCUGAGCGGAUGUAGGCUCUCACUCGGGCUUAGGACGAGUCCAGACC